rnacentral:rRNA from 1 species
CCAUCCGCCGGCGGGGGAUCAUUA